rnacentral:rRNA from 1 species
GACGAACGCUGGCGGCGUGCUUAACACAUGCAAGUCGAGCGGUAAGGCCCUUUCGGGGGUACACGAGCGGCGAACGGGUGAGUAACACGUGGGUGACCUGCCCUCAGCUCUGGGAUAAGCCUGGGAAACCGGGUCUAAUACCGGAUAUGACUCCAUGACGCAUGUUGUGGGGUGGAAAGCCUUGUGCGGCUGAGGAUGGGCCCGCGGCCUAUCAGCUUGUUGGUGGGGUAAUGGCUACCAAGGCUUUGACGGGUAGCCGGCCUGAGAGGGUGUUCGGCCACACUGGGACUGAGACACGGCCCAGACUCCUACGGGAGGCAGCAGUGGGGAAUAUUGCGCAAUGGGCGUAAGCCUGACGCAGCGACGCCGCGUGGGGAUGAAGGCCUCGGU